AUUGAACGCUGGCGGCAGGCUUAACACAUGCAAGUCGAGCGGAGACUUCGGUCUUAGCGGCGAACGGGUGAGUAAUACCUAGGAAUCUGCCUAUUAGUGGGGGAUAACGUGUGGAAACGCACGCUAAUACCGCAUACGUCCUACGGGAGAAAGCAGGGGAUCUUCGGACCUUGCGCUAAUAGAUGAGCCUAGGCCGGAUUAGCUAGUUGGUGGGGUAAAGGCCUACCAAGGCGACGAUCUGUAGCUGGUCUGAGAGGAUGGCCAGCCACACUGGAACUGAGACACGGUCCAGACUCCUACGGGAGGCAGCAGUGGGGAAUAUUGGACAAUGGGGGCAACCCUGAUCCAGCCAUGCCGCGUGUGUGAAGAAGGCCU
rnacentral:rRNA from 1 species